ACGAACGCUGGCGGCUGCUUAACACAUGCAAGUCGAACGGAGUGGCGAACGGGUGAGUAAAGCGUGAGCAACCUGCCUAUGACAGUGGGAUAGCCUCGGGAAACCGGGAUUAAUACCGCAUAGGCAUAGAUGGGGUCGUGUCGGAUUAGCUAGUUGGUGAGAUAACAGCACACCAAGGCGACGAUCAGUAGCCGGUCGUAGAGGCUUGACGGCCACAGUGGAACAGAGACACGGUCCAAAUUCCUACGGGAGGCAGCAGUGGGGUAUAUUGCACAAUGGGGGAAACCCUGAUGCAGCGACGCCGCGUGAACGAAGAAGGUAUUCGUAUCGUAAAGUUCUGUCGUAUGGGAAGCAGUACCAUAGAAGAAAGCUCCGGCUAAAUACGUGCCAGCAGCCGCGGUAAUUC
rnacentral:rRNA from 1 species